UUGCUAAUAUUGUCAGCGAAGUGGCUGCACGGGUGAGUAAUAUAUAGGUAACGUGCCCUAGAUAAGAGGAUAACAUUUGGAAACGAAUGCUAAUACUCUAUAUGCCUUUAAGUCAUAAGACUGCAAGGGAAAUAUUUAUAGCUCUAGGAUCGGCCUGUACGGUAUCAGCUUGUUGGUGAGGUAAUGGCUCACCAAGGCAAUGACACCUAACUGGUUUGAGAGGAUGAUCAGUCACACUGGAACUGAGACACGGUCCAGACUCCUACGGGAGGCAGCAGUGGGGAAUAUUGCACAAUGGACGAAAGUCUGAUGCAGCAACGCCGCGUGGAGGAUGACACAUUUCGGUGCGUAAACUCCUUUUAUAUAGGAAGACAAUGACGGUACUAUAUGAAUAAGCGCCGGCUAACUCC
rnacentral:rRNA from 1 species